CCUAGGGUGGCUGCAGUGGGGAAUAUUGGACAAUGGGCGAAAGCCUGAUCCAGCCAUGCCGCGUGUGUGAAGAAGGCCUUCGGGUUGUAAAGCACUUUCAGUGGGGAAGAAAGCCUUGGGGCUAAUACCCUCGAGGAAGGACAUCACCCACAGAAGAAGCACCGGCUAACUCCGUGCCAGCAGCCGCGGUAAUACGGAGGGUGCGAGCGUUAAUCGGAAUUACUGGGCGUAAAGCGCGCGUAGGCGGUCUGAUAAGCCGGUUGUGAAAGCCCCGGGCUCAACCUGGGAACGGCAUCCGGAACUGUCAGGCUAGAGUGCAGGAGAGGAAGGUAGAAUUCCCGGUGUAGCGGUGAAAUGCGUAGAGAUCGGGAGGAAUACCAGUGGCGAAGGCGGUCUUCUGGACUGACACUGACGCUGAGGUGCGAAAGCGUGGGUAGCAAACAGGAUUAGAUACCCGUGUAGUC
rnacentral:rRNA from 1 species